rnacentral:rRNA from 1 species
CACGUAGGGUGCGAGCGUUGUCCGGAAUUAUUGGGCGUAAAGAGCUCGUAGGCGGUGUGUCGCGUCGGCCGUGAAAACCUGCAGCUUAACUGUGGGCUUGCGGUCGAUACGGGCAUCACUGGAGUUCGGCAGGGGAGACUGGAAUUCCUGGUGUAGCGGUGAAAUGCGUAGAGAUCCGGAGGAACACCAGAGGCGGAAGGCGGAGCCUGACCUGGGCUGGCAC